GAUGAACGCUGGCGGCGUGCCUAAUACAUGCAAGUCGAGCGAACAGAUAAGGAGCUUGCUCCUUUGACGUUAGCGGCGGACGGGUGAGUAACACGUGGGUAACCUACCUAUAAGACUGGGAUAACUUCGGGAAACCGGAGCUAAUACCGGAUAACAUUUGGAACCGCAUGGUUCUAAAGUGAAAGAUGGUUUUGCUAUCACUUAUAGAUGGACCCGCGCCGUAUUAGCUAGUUGGUAAGGUAACGGCUUACCAAGGCAACGAUACGUAGCCGACCUGAGAGGGUGAUCGGCCACACUGAAACUGAGACACGGUCCAGACUCCUACGGGAGGCAGCAGUAGGGAAUCUUCCGCAAUGGGCGAAAGCCUGACGGAGCACCGCCGCGUGAGUGAUGAAGGGUUUCGGCUCGUAAAACUCUGUUAUUAGGGAAGAACAAACGUGUAAGUAACUGUGCACGUCUUGACGGUACCUAAUCAGAGAGCCACGGCUAACUACGUG
rnacentral:rRNA from 1 species